rfam:Clostridium saccharolyticum WM1, complete genome.
CCGUGCAGCCGGGGAGAUAGCGGUGCCCUGUACCUGCAAUCCGCUCUAGCAGGGGUGAUGUCUCACCCAGGGCUGUCUAUUGCAGGGCUGCCCCUGAUAAGUGGCGAUGACGUUUGGGUCUCACGCAACAGAUCUUCAUGAACCGUGUCAGGGCAGGAAUGCAGCAGCACUAAGUGGAACCUUCUGUGUGCCGUGAGGGUGCCUGGACCGAGUUAACUGUCAGGGUAACGCCUGUGAUAGCGGUUCAAAGUGAGACGCACGG